rnacentral:lncRNA from 1 species
GACGCACAGACCAGAAAACAUAAUGCCCAUAAAUGGGGCAUAAAAAUACGACAUAAACCCAUCAUAUACAACUACCGCAUUUCACUUUCCUGAUUUUGGACAGCCACCUACACAACAUUGCUGGAUAAAACAUACACCCAAACAUCUGAUUUCCUAACCCGGGACAUUUGCGGUCGAUUAGAUAAUAUUAUGGAGUGUAUGGAAGCGC